CUUAGUGGCGGACGGGUGAGUAACGCGUGGGUAACCUGCCCUGUACACACGGAUAACAUACCGAAAGGUAUGCUAAUACGGGAUAACAUAAGAAAUUCGCAUGUUUUUCUUAUCAAAGCUCCGGCGGUACAGGAUGGACCCGCGUCUGAUUAGCUGGUUGGUGAGGUAACGGCUCACCAAGGCGACGAUCAGUAGCCGGCUUGAGAGAGUGAACGGCCACAUUGGGACUGAGACACGGCCCAAACUCCUACGGGAGGCAGCAUG
rnacentral:rRNA from 1 species